rnacentral:rRNA from 1 species
CUACGGGUGGCUCCAGUGGGGAAUAUUGCACAAUGGGCGCAAGCCUGAUGCAGCCAUGCCGCGUGUAUGAAGAAGGCCUUCGGGUUGUAAAGUACUUUCAGCGGGGAGGAAGGGAGUAAAGUUAAUACCUUUGCUCAUUGACGUUACCCGCAGAAGAAGCACCGGCUAAGUCCGUGCCAGUAGCCGCGGUAAUACGGAGGGUGCAAGCGUUAAUCGGAAUUACUGGGCGUAAAGCGCACGCAGGCGGUUUGUUAAGUCAGAUGUGAAAUCCCCGGGCUCAACCUGGGAACUGCAUCUGAUACUGGCAAGCUUGAGUCUCGUAGAGGGGGGUAGAAUUCCAGGUGUAGCGGUGAAAUGCGUAGAGAUCUGGAGGAAUACCGGUGGCGAAGGCGGCCCCCUGGACGAAGACUGACGCUCAGGUGCGAAAGCGUGGGGAGCAAACAGGAUUAGAUACCCUUGUAGUC